UAAUCGACGUGCGGGAGGCGGUGCAAUACGGCCUGGGCGCGCUGAAGGGGAGUGUUAAUAUUCCGAUCUCGUCGAUCUUGUCAUCUUCUUCUUCUACCUCCGCGACGCAAUUGAACUCCGGCUCCCUUGUUGAAACAGCGCCCAAUGGCACGUCCGCAGUAGCAAGUACAAUAGCUCUCAAUCUCCCGUCCUGGUACCCUUCAUCUCUGCUCGAUACGGACCCGACCAGACCGAUCCAUGUCGUGUGUAGAUUGGGGAAUGACUCUCAGGUGGCGGUGCGGAAGCUGAAAGAGCUGGGUGUUGAUAGGGGCGGUGAGAGGUGGGUGGGAGAUAUCCGGGGUGGACUGAAGGCGUGGAGAGAGGAAGUCGAGCCGGAGUUUCCUGAUUAUUGAUCGUUUUGCUUAUGUGAAAAGUUUUUGGGUUUGUGAGAGGGGCAAAUUGGAGGUGUUCCAUUCAUGUCAUGUCAUGAUCAGAGUUCAUCAAUUGAAGAUAACAAGCCGCUUUCUCUGGCGGUGGAUAUUAGACGCAAGCAAAAGAUAUAAAUAGAGAUAUAAGCAUUGACAACAUAUCAUUCACUCGAUGUAUAUAUUCGAUAUCAACAAUAAUCAAAGAAUGUUCCUAACUACCCACCAAGAAGUUGAAAGGGUAUUGCCUUUUUAUACAAAAAAAGGGCUG
rnacentral:sRNA from 1 species